ensembl:lncRNA
CUUGAGAGCCAUUCUUCUACGUUUGCUUUUCUCCUGGGCUAGGAGCACUCGGAACCACAGGGCGCGGGCUGGGUGGGGUCAGCAGGGGCCGGCGGGGUCAGCGGGCGCACACACAUUCCCGUCAUGCUCUGCUGUCUCGGUCCGGCUUCGCCCUCGACGCUGACUCUGCCACGAAGCAGUAUGGGCUGCGUUCCCAGGCUCCCAGAAAACUGGCUUUUGAAAAUUACGACCACUUAACAGCUUUUGGCAGUCUCUGUGUGGAGGCGACUGAAAGGGAUAAAUUGUGUGAAAAUUGUCACCAUACUUGGCAUUUGAGGCCACUGUCUCAGAAGAGUAGCUGUUGUACAAAUGAUCUGCUUUGUCAAGAGCUGGCGGAAAAUAAAGAUGAGCUUCU